GAUGAACGCUGGCGGCGUGCCUAAUACAUGCAAGUCGAACGAACAGACCCUGCUCUUGCUCUUCUCACGUUAGCGGCGGACGGGUGAGUCAUACGUGGAUUACCCACCUCUUCGGCUUGGAUCACUUCGGGUGACUGUAGCUCAUACUAGAUAAUAUAUUUAAUCUCAUGGUUCAAUAGUUAUUUCCGUUUUUGCUGUCAUUGCUAGAUGUAUCCGCGUCGGUUUGGUUAGUUGGUAAGGUAACGGCUUCCCGAGGCGGCGAUGCGUAGCCGACCUGGGAGGGUGAAGGGCCACACAGGAACUGAGACACGAUCCAGAGUCCGACGGGAGGCAGAAGUAGGGAAGCUUGGGAGAAGGGCGAAAGACUGAAGAAGCAACGCCGCGUGGGUGAUGAGGGGCUGCGGGUGGUAUAACGCUGUUAUUGGGGAAGAACAAAUGCGUAAGGAACGAUGCAUGUUUUGACGGUACCUAAACAAAAAGCAACGGCUAACUACGUG
rnacentral:rRNA from 1 species